GUACUACAGAUUGAAAAGCUCUUUGAGGAAAAUGGGUAUUUAAAAAGGAGCUACAAAUAAAAUCUUUUUCCUGCUCACUAAACAAAUGAUAUCUGUUAAACAGCUACAAUUAA